AAAAAAAAAAACUAUUUAGCAUAUGUUAAUUGUUAUCACUACAACAAAAACGGUGUAUAGCGACACUUUUAAAUAUAGGUACAGGUCAAAAAAAGUGCUCAUGGCUAAACUACCGACACUUUUAAAAAGUUUUGUUAUAUGUGGGGUCGGUAGGUAUAUAGUGACAGUUAAAGAGUGUCACUAUAGCCUAAAAAGAGUGCUGCUAAUUUAUCGACGCUUAUUUAAGAAUUUAGCAACCGCCGAAACUCUACCUCGUUGGCUGCGGUGGCGGAGGAGAGGAAAGGGCUCUUCAUCUAAAAUUUCAGUAGAUUGAGUGAGGGAAGAAGGGGAGGCGGUAAUCGAUUUUUUUCUUUUCUUUUCUGUUUGUAAUCAGGCCGAAUAGGCUGGGUGGGAUGGGUUGAGUAGAGUAACCUUUUAUUUUUGGUUGGAUUAGGCUUUAUAUUUAGGCAAUAGUAGAUUUUCUUUUAAGUUUUGGCAUAAAUAGGACAUUUACACAAAAAUGUCCCAAACAUGUGUUCCUAUAAACUAAUUCUGUUGUAGUGUAAAUGAAACUAUUUGGCUUAUGUUAAUUGCUGUAAAUUGAUGGAAUGUAAAUCUAUACUAUCAGUUGAGUGAUAAAUAUACAAUUUUUAAAUUUUAAAAAAUUUAUCAGUAAGUGUGCGAAAAUUUAGAUUGUUUUGUAUGUCCAAAACUUUGUUAUCAAUAUCUGCUACUAUAAUGGCAGCAGAUAUAGAAAUAGAAUUAAAUAGAAAUUAAUAUCCAAGCUCAAACUAGGCCAUUUCUUCAUAUUUAUAUAUAAUAGUAAAAGAAAAAUGCUUCCUAGUCGGUUAAAUAUAUAAUAUAAAAUUAAUGAAAUGACGUACUUAUUUUUACAAGCAACGAAAAUCAAGGAUUUUCCAACAAAGUUUCUAAUUAAUUGAUAUAAUACUUUUAAUCCUUAAAAUUGUAUAUUUAUGCAUCUUCGCCAGCGGACUAGUUAUAAUUAGAGGCAAUUGCUUAUAUACACAUUUGAAAAGUUUUCAACUUUCUGAUUUAUCAUUCUUAGAAGGUUAAUAUUGAAAAUAUCUUUUUUACGUUCCAAUUUAUUUCAAAUAUACUCAUAUAGAGUUAAAUUCUGUUAAUGAACUAUUAGUAAUAAUUGUUAUCUGUAUGAAAUUAUUAUUUUGCCCUUUCAAAUAUACCCUUCCACCAUCACUUUUUUUUUAUUUGCCCGUAAGUUAGGGUUAUAAAAAGUAUUUUCAAAAAAAUAUCCUUCUGUCAUCACCAAUAUUUUUUAUUUGUCAUACGUUAAGGGCAAAAGAGAUAUUUUGAUUGUUUUUUAAACUCUAGUAGACGUUUAACACAUAUUUAACCUAAGUUAACUUAACGGAUGGUAACUAUUAAGAGUAUUUUGGAAUAAGGAAGGAACAUAUGAGGGGUAUAUUGGAAAUAAAUAAAAAAAAAGUAGAGUUAAAUAAGAUAUUUUCAAAGUUUAGAAGGUUAUAUAGGCAAUUUCCCCUACUUUGACCUCCUAUACUUACCUUAUCCAUUAAAAAAAAAUUCUAAAAUUAAAAGAGUAAUUAAAAAUUCUAAUUUAAUCAUCAUAUAUUUGAAUUACAUAUAUACUUCUUUUAUUUUCUUGA
rnacentral:lncRNA from 1 species